UGGAGUAUCCAAGGGGGCUUCAUGUCUCACUGCAUUGCUCUAUCUAGCAGAGAUUUUGUGAGAUGGACCUGGAGAGAAAAGGCCCGUGUAUGCUCCUGGCCUUGAGAGUUGCCCCAUCCUACUGUGAUGUCAUCAUUGGAACUACAGCCAGAGAUAUGAACUCCAACAACCAGUGACCCAGGCCCAGCUCCCACACAUUCUCAUCCCUAAUCACACACUGUGCCUAGGGCUUCUGCCUCCAUCCCACAAUCACGUGAACCCGUUAAGCCCAAGGCUCGUGUUCGGCAGUGACUUGGGGAAGCCAGCAUGUGUGUGAGCUUACCUCAAAGCAUCUCAUGUAUAUAUGUGCUCCCUCGCUUUUACUCCUGCCCCUGGACCACCAGCUCCAUGAGAAGGGGACACCGCCUGCAGUGUUCAUGCAACAGACCCAGCACACACCAUUUCAUUCGCAGGCCCUCGCUCACCAGGAGAUUAACCCAUCAGGCUGCUGCGUGAGAAGGGACAGAGCGGCUCCUGACAGGAGGCCCAUGAUGUGGGGGAAAUCAAAACAAAUCCACCUGCUGAAGGAAGAUGCUGAGGACGGCAGCCGUGCGGUGACCUCGUCCUCCUACGGAUGUUUGUAGGCAGUGUUAUCACCGCCACCGAUGUGGCACUGGGCUGUUUAUGACUUCCUGAUCACACUAUUUUUCACGACUGUGUCUGCAUGGCUGUUCAACGACUUUGUGUAACGGUGUCCUCUCAUUCUGAAUAAACCAUAGUGCCUG